UUUUUUUUUUUUUUCGCUCAGCUGGCACUUGUGUGCCAUUAUAGCCCCAUACAGAAAAGUCCUUGAAAGUAAAAGGUAAAAGAAAAUCCUCUGUGGGCAGAACUCCCUGGUUGUUCACUUUGCAUGGGAGAAAUCCUCAGAGGUGUGGAUUUUCCCUGAUUCAUGGGCAGUGGCUCAAGGCUCUGCAGUUUUUAUGGAGUUUAAAAGAAAAAAACAGAAGAUGGGUGACUUGGUGAUCGGAAGAGGAGAUAUAUGGAUUCUGCUCCUGGAAUGGGCACAGGAGAGUGCUUCACAUGAGUGAGCUCCAAAGAAAAUCUACCAUAGAUGAUAUAACCAGUAGACAAGAUGCCCUACUCUAUGGAGAACCGUGUCUUCUGCCAGCUACUGCAGUGUCUGUUCAGUGGGCUCAUGGUGGCAGGGAUGGAACUGUCUACAGACUCAGCAGCAUGGACAUCCUCCUUCUCAAGCCAGUGUUGGUACCACCACUGCUGAGGACCCAAUCUGCCUACAGCAAGGCUAAGACUGAGCCCAGGAUAGGAUGCUGUGGCCCAGUGGCCUGAGGCUGGGCAGAGCUGCCAGAAGCCAGUGGUAACUUGAUUACAUCACACUCAUCUCAUGAGGGCUUAUGUGUCCUGAGCUGAAAGACUUUGCUCUGGGUAUGGAUUUGCCUUCCCUGACUGAAAUGCAUGGUCACGGGACCCUACGUGAGGGAGCUGUUCUCUGCAAAUAAAGAAGUACGGUGUCGGGCUCAUCAUAUCCCACCACACCCCACGAGGUUGCCUGAAAGAACAGGAGCAGCUUGUGUUGGCUGGGAGGCAGCAUGCUGAGAGGCUGAGAUGCUGGCCUGCAGGAUCUAUGUCUUAGACCAUGGACAAUUGGUGGUGUCCCUUCUCUCACAGCCGACAUGCAUGGGUCUGGAAACCAUGGGGUGGGACCUAAGGACCCGUCUGAAGAGAUUUUGCUUUCUAUUUUCAUAGCCUUGAAGGCUGCUGGUGUAGAUGUCUCAGUUCUUGUUUCAAGAGAGGAAAGUGUCCAUUCCAAUGACGGUUCCGUGGAUUGGAGGUUAAGAUCGCCACCAGACUGCCUUGAAUUCCUCAUGCCACUGAACUCACAGGCUAAGGUGGGGAGGCUCUGAUGUGGUUGGGUUGAUUAAUCUCAUUUUCAAGAAGACAUUAGGCUGUUUCUCCCCAGUGGGGACAGAGAGGAGUAAGACCAGGACCUGGGAAUUACAGGGAUGCAUUGUAGUACUUCCGUGUCUAGCAACCCAAUAAGUACAGGAUUGCAAAGAGCUCAGAGCUCAGGCCAGAAGGUGUAGUUCACCCCACCAGGUAAAGAACCCUGACUGCCACCGAUGCUGGCUAAGGCAAGAAGGAAAGGAAAAAGGGGGAAAAAAGAGAAAGUGAUAAGUACAAUUGACCUUUGUUACUCACAGCAAUUAUGUUGUAUAAAGUCACUGGGAACACUGAGUUAGCAGAUAAUGAACAUUGCUCAGAGGGAAAACAUAGGGUACGUUCCUGUGAACUUUUGUGAUGACAUUUUUGCCAAUCAUCUAUUGCUCAGCUUGUUUUAUGUGUGUUUCUGCUUGAAGGCACUUUAUUCUAUAUAUUAUCAAUUUAUUCAUGUGACACUCAUGGCUAACAGCACUAUAACUUCGGCUGGAAUAAAGCUUUUCUCUAACACAUGUGUGUUCUCCAUAAGGCACAUCACAGCCCUUCUGGUGCUUAGGAACACAGGACAGCCUCAGCACUGUGCAUAGGGGCCAUUUUAAGGAGCAAAAUCACCAAGAAAAAGCACAAAAAUGUUUAAAACAUGGCUAAAUAGACUGAAGAAGAACACUUGUUUACAAUAUGAGAACUGGAAUAAAAAGGUGGAGAUGGAACGGGGGAGUUGGACAACUCAACAUUUUCACCAUUCUGGCAUGUCCACGAAUGACUAUGAAAGCACAGUGAGCACCAGUUUGGAAAGGUAAAUU
ensembl:lncRNA